UUUUUUUUUUUUUUUUGCUUUUAUCUUCUUUGUUCUUGUUAGAGUAAACCCUUCCUGUCUUGACCAGGAAGAGCAGCUAGCCCCUUGUGUCUAAGGUUUCAGUGAAGGAGACAAAAUACAAUCAACAGGAGGAACCCUUGAACCAAGAGCAGGCUCACAAAGGAACUGCUGUAGAUAUGGGGACUCUCCAAUGAAUUCUCAGAGGCAGUAAGGACACGAGUGGCAUCAUGAAGAAUUAACAAGUUAAGAAGUACCUUUCUGAAGAUUUGGAAAAUAUUUACAAGAGGAGCAAAAGGAAAAAAUAUAAGGAAAUGUGAGUUUGGGACUUCCUUUUAAGAGAAGGAUUUGUCUUAGCAGGAUCGUUGUUAGUCAGGGCCACCUAUUCUCUUCUGUAUGAUGUGAUGUGUUGCUUUUAUCAAUAAAAUCUGUCAACAACUCAAAUAAACUACAAAGCUAUGCUAAAACGCCUUUCCCCAUCAAUGUAUCUAGUGAUACUGAUAUUUAUGCUAAUACUAAACAUUGUCAUUAUCUACAAGAAAACAUACUUGUCCUACUCCUCCUAAUCAAAUUUCCCCCAGAGUCAUACAAACCUACAAGCAUAUUUGAUAAAAUUAGGGACAAUUCUCUUAUAAAAAUAGCUUUAAAAAAAAAAAAAACCUCUCACAUAACAUUUUAGUUGUUCUACCAAAGGUAUCACUUUACUGGCUAUAGCAGACUGAAUUGAUUUGUCUUUUGAUUUAGCUGAUCUUAUCUUAACAGAUGAGCAGACAUGCCUAGAACUUAUAUGAGAGACCAUCUGGAAAUAUUAGGUCCUGAAUGUGCAAGGCAAAGUGUCAGAGACACUGGGUCAUGAAACUGAAUGAUUGGAAGAUUACAAUGGUUCUCUUGCCACUGCAAGAUGGCAUAAGAAUUGUAACAGGAAAUGAAGAUUCAACUGUUUAUCCUCAAAAGACAAGAAGCAUGGCUUCCACCCCUGCAAAUACCACCUUCAUCUCACCAGCCUCACCUCUUCUAGUUCUCUUUUUUACAUCUGAGUGUCUUUGCUGUUUAUGCAACACUAUGUAUGAUGGUUUCUUUUCUCAUGCACCCUUCUAUAAUUGAAGUUAGGCUAACACCUCUUACUCACCUCUAAGCAAUUUGCUAGAAAAGCUGUCUCAAAAGUAUACAGAAUAUUAGAAUUCAUAAGAAAUUAAGUAGAUAUUAUCAUUAAUGGUAGCAUAGCACAUCUAUAGUUCAGGCCAUUCAACAUGAAUAACAAUAUAGCAAGAGUACCAGGAGAUUCAGAUAAGACUGUUAAAAAUUACCAGAAGUACUAAAAGACUUUCAUAUUGAAAAACUGUGAAAAUGUUAUUAUUAUUUAUUGGCUACCUCUGGGGAGUGGACACUGGAUUGGGAAAACAUUACUCUAUAUCUGACUGAUUUCUAACAACCAGUAUAGGUUGGGUUUUCAAGUUAUCCAGUAUUACAUAUGUUGUGGUUCAUUCCUAAUCUUGCAAUGUGCAUACAUUUCCCAAGGAGAAGGCUUUUAGCAAGAGAGAGACGCAACUCUUUCCCUGUUACACUCUGGAGAUGGAAACCUUCAGACACCUUUCUUGGUAAACAAGGUUGUCUUUAAAUCUGUAGUACUAAGGUAUUUAGUACUAAAUUUCCAUCAGAUUAGGAAGAUUUUGGCAUGCUUAACUGAAGAUUUACAGUGGAGAAAUUGGGCAGUGACAAGCAUCAUGGCACAGAAACACUACAAGUCUGGUUGUAAGCAAAGUGGAAUGAGCCAGAUUCCAGUGUUGCCAGUAAUUAAUAACAUGAGGGAUAAGAACUGUUGGCUCUAAAAUGUCUUCAUGUGGGAAAAUAAAUAUUUGAUGACCUUAAAUAGUAUGUCAAAGAAACAAAGAAUAUGCUUAUAUCUCCCCGCCCGCACCAGGUGUACCACUUGAAGUCUGACAGUAUGACAUCUUUGAACCCUACAGCAUAAAUUCUACCUUCUACCUGCAAACUGAGACUUCUAGCAUGACAUAAUCCAAAACACAUGAAAUAAGUUUUAAAAAGUGAUGUUUUGCUUGCAUAGCUACAAUUCUAUUAGCGUCUCUCUCUGCCACAAAUUGUGAUAGAGAAAUUCUUGCUUGAUGCCCCGUGUUUGCCACAGGUUUCUGACUGUAGAUAAUUCAUUCAAUGAUACAAAGAUAUGUUGCCAACAUCUUCGAACCUUUAGAAAGGUACUUUGAAAACUGGUUCCAAAAUAUUUUGGAUGGCAAACAUCACUCAACUGUCAACACUUCCAUUGGACCACCAUGCAACAUUAUCAAAUGUUCAACUGGUAAUUUUUGGCACUAGAGCUCAACAGGCUGCUUGCAGAUGUCCCACUGGGAACCGACAAACCACCAGUGGCCCACACACAAAAGCUUGAGACUGGUUAAUUGGAAUAUGUUAUUUGUAAUAAGCCUUCCACUGGAUUCUUCCUAUUGUCUUUCACCAGUUCUAAUGUCUUUCACAGUGAAUCAAAACCAAAUGUUAAAGAUGGGGGAAAGAACUCGUAAAAAGAAC
rnacentral:lncRNA from 1 species